AUCCAGCUGACAAGUUGCAAAUAAAACGAAACACGCGUCUUGGAU
rnacentral:hammerhead_ribozyme from 1 species